CGUGUAGGCGGAUUGGUAAGUUGGCUGUGAAAGCUCCUGGCUUAACUGGGAGAGGUCGGUCAAUACUGUCAGUCUAGAGUAUGUGAGAGGGAAGUGGAAUUCCGGGUGUAGUGGUGAAAUGCGUAGAUAUCCGGAGGAACACCAGAGGCGAAAGCGGCUUCCUGGCACAUAACUGACGCUCAGACGCGAAAGCUAGGGAGCGAACG
rnacentral:rRNA from 1 species